rnacentral:rRNA from 1 species
UUCCGGUUGAUCCCGCCGGACCUGACUGCUAUCGGAUUGAUACUAAGCCAUGCGAGUCUUUGCAGUAAUGCAAGGCAUACGGCUCAGUAACACGUAGUCAACUUACCCUAUGGACGAGGAUAAUCUCGGGAAACUGAGCAUAAUACUCGAUAGAUCAUAAUGCCUGGAAUGGUUUAUGGUUGAAAUGAUUCGUCGCCAUAGGAUGGGACUGCGGCCUAUCAGCUUGUUGGUGAGGUAAUGGCCCACCAAGGCGAUUACAGGUACGGGCUCUGAGAGGAGAAGCCCGGAGAUGGGUACUGAGACAAGGACCCAGGCCCUAUGGGGCGCAGCAGGCGAGAAAACUUUGCAAUGUGCGAAAGCACGACAAGGUUAAUCCGAGUGAUUUCUGCUAAAGAAAUCUUUUGCAAGUCAUAAAACCACUAGUGAAUAAGGGGUGGGCAAGUUCUGGUGUCAGCCGCCGCGGUAAAACCAGCACCUCAAGUGGUCAGGAGGAUUAUUGGGCCUAAAGCAUCCGUAGCCGGCUCUGUAAGUUUUCGGUUAAAUCCAUGUGCUCAACGCAUGGGCUGCCGUAAAUACUGUAGAACUAGGGAGUGGGAGAGGUAGACGGUACUCGAUAGGAAGGGGUAAAAUCCUUUGAUCUAUUGAUGACCACCUGUGGCGAAGGCGGUCUACCAGAACACGUUCGACGGUGAGGGAUGAAAGCUGGGGGAGCAAACCGGAUUAGAUACCCGGGUAGUCCCAGCUGUAAACGAUGCAGACUCGAUGAUGCAAUGGCAUAGAGCUAUUGCAGUAUCGCAGGGAAGCCGUUAAGUCUGCCGCCUGGGAAGUACGUACGCAAGUAUGAAACUUAAAGGAAUUGGCGGGGGAGCACCACAAGGGGUGAAGCCUGCGGUUCAAUUGGAGUCAACGCCGG